GACGAAGGAUCCAAGCGUUAUCCAGAUUCAUUGGGUUUAAAGGGUGCGUAGGCGGACUAAUAAGUCAGUGGUGAAAGCCGAUAGCUUAACUAUCGAACUGCCAUUGAUACUGUAAGUCUAGAGUAUAGAUGAUGUUGGCGGAAUAUGACAUGUAGCGGUGAAAUGCAUAGAUAUGUCAUAGAACACCGAUUGCGAAGGCAGCUGACAAAACUAUAACUGACGCUGAUGCACGAAAGUGCGGGGAUCAAACAGG
rnacentral:rRNA from 1 species